rnacentral:lncRNA from 1 species
UGAUAAUCUGGGUGUUAGUCUGAGAAAGAAUCUCAUCUUGAUUCUCUCUGGUCAAGUGAGGGUCCAGACGAGAGCUAAGUGAAGGCCUGGGAAACAGAGUACCUUGUUUUCUUCCUCUGGGGCACCUGACCUGGGAAUUGAAGCACAGAGAGACCUUGGACCCAGGAUUGCAGGCAGGAUGGUGCAGUCAGCUAGCUAGCUGGCCCAGUAUGGAAACUGGGAAGCCAAGAUUCUUAGGGCCUGAGGAAGGACUUGGAACUGGGACUGUGCUCCAAAAAAGUGGAGCUAAGCUGUGAAUGUUAUCCUUUUCCCCUCCCCAGAAACUGAGUAAGGAAGAGGAAGAUUUUGACUUGGGGGAAUAAAUUUUUGUGAUACCAUUUUUUAUCA